rfam:Triticum urartu cultivar G1812 contig594697, whole genome shotgun sequence.
ACCAAACUCCUCCGUCCAGAAAUAUUUGUCAUCAAAAUGAAUAAAAAGGAUGUAUCUAGAUGUAUUUUAGUUCUGGAUACAUCCAUUUUCAUCCAGUUCGAUGACAAGUAUUUUUGGACGGAGGGAGUAAUAA